GAGAAAGGCAAGAAGCAAUAAGCACUGCUAAUACUUAUAUCCGCGGCUAAACUCCGCGGCUUUCUCG
rnacentral:tRNA from 1 species